rnacentral:SRP_RNA from 1 species
GCCAGGUGUGGUGGCGGGCACCUGUAAUCCCAGCUACUCAGGAGGCUGAGGCAGGAUAAUCACUUGAGCCCAGGAGCCAGAGGUUGCAGUGAGCCGAGAUUGCACCACUGCACUCCACCCUGGGCAACAGAGUAAGACUCUGUCUCAA